rnacentral:ribozyme from 1 species
AAGAAUCAAAAAGUUUUUUUUAUAACUAUAAUAUAAACUGAAUGAAAAGUAAAGAAUAUUACCAGCUUGCUCUCUCUCUCUCUAUUCACUAUAUACAUGUAUACAUGUACAGUCG